GCCUUACUUCGUAACCCACCCAGAGGUGCUGCUGUGCCCAGUUUGAGCCAGCUAGCCUCCACACCCAUGUGUCCUUGCAGGAGAGGAUCCGUGAACAGCUGUGGUCCACAGUGGUUGUACAGAUUGGGGCCUGGCAAGCUUUCUGUAAAAGACCAAGGUGUUCAUUGAGAUCUCGAUGCCACAGUCUUGUGCAAUGGCCUCGUGUUGCCCCUGUAGCAGACAGAUAGCCUUGGUGUCACAGAGAGGUGUGUGUGAUGACAUCUAUCCCAGGGUGAGGGGCGUGGCCCCACAUGGUCUGGGUGACACCUUGCUAAAAGAUUUUUAGAUUUCUCCCCACAGUUGUCUCUCUUAAGGCAUCAUCUGGUUUCAAAAACAACGCUAAUGCCGCCCAGCACUGCGCCAUCCAAGUAAACCCCACACUGGCUUUGCAGCUUUACGAUGUCUGUAAGAGAGAUUCUUUGGCCCGCUGAGACUGCAUAACCAUCUGCCAUAAAUUGAGACUAGUACGGCUUAUUUUGACACCUCCUGGGCCUCAGCAUGGGGUGCAGAGAAGCCUGAAGUCUGCAUCUCACCACCUGGGAGUGCUGAAGCUGCAGGGCUCCCUAUACCAGCUGGGUCCAGCAACCCCGUUUACCCAGGGCUGCUCUGGCCGAGCCCCUACCUCCUGUGUACCACUCAGAGCUGGGCAAACUGAGACAGUUGCCUACCCUAUGGCCCUGUCUACCCUAGAUCUGCAGAGAGGACCUCUGGGGCUCAUUCUGAAGGUCCUGCAUUGUGAACAACAAAUCCGGAUCCCCUGAAGGCAGACCCUGUGGUCCAGACUGCAGGGCAAUACUGGAGAGUGAGGCUCACACUGAAGAAAUUUAAUCUCCAGACAGCGAGCGGGCUGUAUAUUCUGGGACAAGUUCUUGGACUUUGCAUAAUAUAAACGACAAUUUCAGCUACAAGAUGAGAUUCACACCACACUGAGCUGGAGCAGGAAGCUGCCCAGCCCGGGCUGCUAGAGAGGACCAAGUCAGCGUAAUGCCAGAUGGAACCAUCCGAGGUGUGCCUCACCACCCUUCUCUCCCAGCCAGCACCCACUGGUUCACAUGUCCUUCCAGAAGUGCGAGCCUCUGGGUAGAGCUUCCCCCAUGGCUGUGAUCUCCAUCUUAAAAGCAAGUCAGCUGCCUGCAAGAGUGAAGCUCAGAAACGAAAAGGUGGUGAGCUGCAGGGUGGCCAUGAGUGGCAGAGGAGCAACACCAUUCAUGUUCUUGAGAGCCACAUACCAAGGGAGUGGUGCCUGUCACCCUGGACUACAAGUGUGCAGAGUGAAUGGCUUGGAAGGAUGAGACUUCGGGGUGUGGCAGGGGAGAGAACAAGCUAGAGUAGAGAGAGCUGUCAAGUGAUGAGGACUCUGACCCACCCAUAGACACGGGUCCUUGAGAAAUAAGUUCAGAUAUGGUCUCUGGUGAUAAAAACAGGAGGGUCCUGUGAGUCCUAGCCUGCCUCCCUAAUGGGUCCUAAAAACUAUAUGGCAGAGGGUAACCAGAUGGCUCAGGGCUUAAGAGUGCGACUCUUCCAGAGGACCCAAGUUCCAAAGGACCUGUAUUCAGUUCCUGCACCAGGCAGCUCAUAUCUGCCUGAAACUCCAGAAGGCCUCCAAGGGCACCCACAUAUACUUACACAGAUAGACACAUAAAUAAAAAAACAAUAUAGUCAGAUCCUCAGGACUUGUGCUGUGCACUUGUCAAAGGAUACAGGCCUAGAUAGCAUCCUGAACUGGGAAUAUCUGGGACCAGAAGUGCGUCUGUUUUGAGAUCUUUCAGCAUCAGUAUGUUCACUCAGCCAACAUUCUUAAUCUGGACAUCUCGAGUCCAAAAUACUAGGAACCCAGAGCUCUUUCUGCCCAGAGCAAUGUUGUUUGUGUCUCCUAGAUACCUAAGUAUUCGCAGAGUUUGAAUCAACGUGUUCAGAAAACGGGUUCCAAAUUAAAGGCACUUGGCCAAGAAAAAAUG